rnacentral:ncRNA from 2 species
UUUUUCCACUAGGGGUGCCUUUUAAAGGCUGAGAUUGAAGUGAGACUUUAAGACCCUUAGAACCUGAUCUGGCUUAUACCAGCGUAGGAAAGUGGAGUUCGUAGUAU